CACAACAAAUGAACAUAUGUGUGAGCUUCAGAUUAAUGAAGCUCUUUCCAUCCAUUCCACUUAUCUCUCAAAAAGCUGCAACAAUGGCUGACCAAGUCCCUUCUUCUUCUUCGUCUUCUUCUUCGCAGUGCAACCUGGGAAUACUUGAGAUUCAAGAUGAUAUUGAUGGGACUUGUUCUUCGUUCCACGACAUCGACCAAGCAAGUCUCGCAAAUAUGGCGAAAGAGAAAAACAUGAAUGAGCUUUCUAGAUUUGGCGGGAUCAAGGGUCUCGCCAAGGCUCUUCAGACUGACCCAGAAGACGGGACCAGUGGAGACGACCGCGACGUCAGCCUGAGGCAGAGAACGUUCGGCUCCAACACCUACCACAAGCCGCCCCCGAAAGGGCUCGGCUUCUUCGUGGUGGAGGCUUUCAAGGACACCACAAUUCUCAUCCUGCUGGGCUUUUCUGCCCUUUCCCUUGGCUUUGGCAUCAAAGAACACGGCGCCGGAGAAGGGUGGUACGAGGGUGGCAACAUCUUUGUAGCCGUCUUCCUAGUUCUUGGUGUAUCUGCGCUUAGUAACUUCAGGCAGGAGAGGCAGUUUGACAAGCUAUCGAAGAAAAGUAGGGACAUCAAGAUUCAAGUUGCAAGAGAUGGACGGCGGCAAGAGAUCUCCAUCUUUGAUAUUGUGGUGGGAGAUGUCGUGUUUCUGACAACUGGGGACCAAAUUCCGGCCGAUGGGCUGUUCCUCAGGGGCUAUUCCUUGCAAGUCGAUGAAUCCAGCAUGACGGGAGAGAUCGAUCUCGUAGAGGUAGAUAGCGUUCAGAACCCGUUCUUGCUAUCUGGUUCUAAAGUGGGAGAUGGUUUUGCUCGGAUGCUGGUGACAUCUGUUGGGAUGAACACGGCCUGGGGCAAGAUGAUGAGUUCCAUAACCCAGGAUUCCAAUGAACAAACACCAUUACAAGCCAGGCUUGUCAAACUGACCUCAUCGAUCAAGAAGGUAGUCUUCGCUGUAGCUGUCCUACUUCGAGUAGUUGUGUUAAUUCAAUAUUUCACAGCAAACACGGAUGAUGAGAAUGGAAAUAAGGAGUUUACCAGUGGCAGAGCAGACAUAAAUCUUGUGUUCAAUUCUGUUGUAAAAAUGGUAGCCGCUGCAAUUACAGAAGGCCUCAAGUUGGCGGUCACGCUCACGCUUGCUUACUCCAUGAAGAGAAUGAUGGCGGAUCAGGCGAUGGUCAGGAAGCUCCCGGCGUGUGAGACCAUGGGCUCGGCCACCGUAAUCUGCACAGACAAAACGGGUACAUUAACAAUGAAUCAAAUGAAAGUUACCAAGUUUUGGCUGGGCAAAGAAGAGCUAGUAGAAGACUAUUCUGGAUUAAUUUCCCCUGAGGUCCUUGAACUGUUCCACCAAGGAGUUGGCUUGAACACCACUGGUAGCAUAUAUAAACCAGUUUCAGGGUAUAUGCCUGAUUUUUCUGGUAGUCCAACGGAAAAGGCAAUUCUCUCUUGGGCUGUCCUGGAGCUGGGAAUGGACAUGGAAAAACUGAGGCGAAGCUGUAGCAUUCUCCACGUUGAAACCUUUAAUUCUGAGAAGAAACGAAGCGGAGUCUCAGUAAGGAAGACGGCUGAUGGCGGUAUUCAUGUGCACUGGAAAGGUGCUGCUGAGAUGGUGCUGGCAAUGUGUUCAAAUUACCGCCAGAGCACCGGCGCAAUCAAGUCAAUAGAUGAAGAAAGGACGCAAUUUGAGACGAUAAUCCAAGGAAUGGCUGCGAGCAGCCUCCGAUGCAUUGCUUUUGCUCAUAAGCAAGUUUCGGAGGAAGAUAUGCAAGACAUUGGAGAUGGAAAAGCGUACAAAAAGCUAAUAGAAGACGAUCUGACAUUGCUGGGGAUAGUUGGACUGAAAGAUCCAUGUAGACCAGGGGCGAAAAAAGCAAUUGAGGUUUGCAGGUCUGCAGGAAUUCGCAUUAAAAUGAUAACGGGAGACAAUGUAUUCACAGCAAAAGCUAUAGCCGCAGAAUGUGGAAUUCUUGAGCCUAAUCAGCAGGUUAACAGUGAAGAGGUGGUGGAAGGUGUUCAGUUUCGAAACUACACCGCUGAAGAGAGAAUGAGGAAGGUCGAUCAGAUCCGCGUCAUGGCAAGAUCGUCCCCGUUCGACAAGCUUUUGAUGGUUCAAUGCUUGAAACAGAAGGGUCAUGUGGUUGCAGUCACCGGAGAUGGUACAAAUGAUGCACCUGCACUCAAAGAAGCCGAUGUGGGACUUGCCAUGGGAAUCCAGGGCACCGAGGUGGCCAAAGAGAGCUCAGAUAUUGUCAUAUUGGACGAUGAUUUUGCCUCUGUUGCCACCGUUUUGAGGUGGGGACGUUGUGUUUAUAACAAUAUCCAAAAGGUUAUCCAAUUUCAACUUACCGUAAAUGUUGCAGCUCUUGCGAUCAAUUUUAUUGCAGCAGUUUCUUCCGGUGACGUUCCCCUAACAGCGGUUCAAUUGUUGUGGGUAAAUCUCAUCGUGGAUACCUUGGGUGCUUUGGCCCUAGCUACCGAGCGGCCAACAGAUGAGCUGAUGCACCGCAAGCCUGUGGGUAGGACCGAACCCCUCAUAACAAACAUUAUGUGGAGAAACCUUAUAGCACAAGUACUGUUCCAGAUAGCCGUACUUUUGACCUUACAGUUCAGGGGCAAGUCAAUCUUCAAUGUGAGUGAGGCAGUAAAGAACACUCUUAUCUUCAAUACUUUUGUCCUUUGCCAAGUUUUCAAUGAAUUCAAUUCAAGGAACCUGGAGAACUGGAACGUAUUCACAGGUCUUCAUAAGAACCAACUAUUUAUUGGAAUUGUUGGAAUAACUAUUGGUCUUCAGAUUGUGAUGGUAGAGUUCCUGAAGAAAUUUGCAGACACAGAAAGAUUGGAUUGGUGGCAGUGGCUGAUUUGCACUGCUCUUGCUGCUGCAUCGUGGCCAAUAAGUUGGGUUGUGAAACUAAUACCUGUCCCAGAGAAACCAUUUUUAACCUAUAUCAGAGGUUUGGGAUCCAAUAUGACGACGACUGCACAAGCACACCUAACAUAAGCCCGUAUAAGAGACUUGGAUUACCCGAGCCUCUGUAGAAAUUAUGUUGAAAAAAUGACGAAUACACAGAUGUGGAACAUGUGUUAAAGCGGACAUGGAGCAAAAAGAGUGAUUUUGGUGCAUUAUGGAAGUGAAAUAAAGCUUGGAGGCAUGGUCGGGUAUCAAAUUAAAAGAAAUCAAAAGAGUAUCGAGAGCAAGAAAUUGAAAAUGAUAAAGCAAGAGGCUAAAAAAGAAGGCUAGCGAUUUUAUAGCGGAAUGCAUACCGCUGUAGGACUGCUAUAAGGUUUAGUUUCUGGAGCUCACGGUCUUACAGCGGAAUGCAUAACGCUGUAGGACCGUUUUAGGAAUUGCUUUCUAGAGCUCACGGUCCUACAGCGAAAUGCAUACCGCUGUAGGACCGCUUUAGGAAUUAGUUUCUGGAGCUCACGGGUCUGCAGCAACAAGCAUAUCGCGGUAGGACCACGGUAGGGUUCAAAGCUUCGAGAAAAGGCCGUUUUAAGUCCGUUUCAAUCCAAAUAAAAGAGAAAUAGACUCCUUUAAGGUACAGGACUUUGAUAACCUAAAGAUGACUAUAUAAAGACUUAUUCUUAGAAGAUUUGGGAUCUUUUGGGGGAGAGAAGAGAAGCGGAUGGAAGAUUGAAGACUACUCUUGGGUUGUAUUUUUCUUUUCUUUCUCAACUCUUUGCUAUGGAUUCCAACUCUUUUCCUUUUCUUUUGAUUGAGAGCAUGCAUAGCUAAGUGUUUAUAGCUAGGGUGAAUGAUGAAACCUCGACUUCUAAUGGUUUGAUUUAAAAUUAUUUGGUUUGCUAUUUUCUUAUCUAUCCGGGUUGAUUGUUUGUUAUGUUUAUAAUGUUGUUUUGAUGCUUGAUCACCAUUGAAACUUAUUUGUGAUUUGUAUUGCUUUCGAGAGAUUCAAUACGGAUUAGAUAUGGUAGCAAACAACGUAGGGUCCGAUAAUAGGUAGAGAUAUCGUUAUGCCCUAUGAAAUCAUUGUGUGAUAAUCUCCGUGAUUGAAUGCAUGUUUAUAUGUUCGAAGGUUGACUAGAGAUAGUUAAUCUCAUAUAUAUACAUAGAACUAAAUGACCAUCGAGAGAGGCUUUUGGUUGUAAUUGGAUUAUCGAUUUUCAACCUAAGAUAAGGAAUAGCAACACCCGAGUAAUGAAUAAUUGAAUCAUAGAGAUCGACGGUGGAUUCACAAACCCUAGUGCCUUAGUCUUGUGAGUUUUAAAUCAAAGGAAUUAUUUUGUUUGCAUCUUUUAUUCAUAAAUUAGUUUUCAUUACAAUUGAAUUCUUCGUUAAUGUGUGUGUUAGGUUAAGGUUAAAUCAGUUAGAGUAAACGUCAAAAGUUAGUCCUCGUGGGUACGACACUCUGUUCAUCACUAUAUUACUUGUCACGAUCCGUCCACUUGCGAGAUAGAAUUUAGCCAGGCAAGUUUCCGCUAUAGGACCGUGAGCUCCAGAAAGCAAUUCCUAAAGCGGUCCUACAGCAGUAUGCAUUCCGCUGUAGGACUGUGAGCUCCAGAAACUAAACCUUAUAGCGGUCCUAUAGCGGUAUGCAUUCCGCUGUAAAACCGCUAGCCUUCUUCUUUAGCCUCUUGCUUUAUCAUUUUCAACUUCUUGCUCUUGAUACUCUUUUGAUUUCUUUUAAUUUGAUACCCGACCAUGCCUCUAAGCUUUAUUUCACUUCCAUAAUGCACCAAAAUCACUCUUUUUGCUCCAUGUCCGCUUUAACACAUGCUCCACAUCUACAUAACCAUAUAUAGAACCAAAUCAAGUAGAAAUCAUGCUCAUUGAAUGUAUAAAUGCUAAGUUUAUAGACCAAAAUAAGUGUAUAAAAGACACUUAUCAUGACACCUGCAUGGAAAAGAAAACCCUGAGCACGGUCGAGAGGAAUUUGCAUUUCCUAAUUGGAAAGCCACUGUUGGUUUGAACUUCGGAACAGUCGCAAAGUUCUUCUAUUAUAUAGUGGAUUGUAAAAAUUAUGUUGAAAAAAUGAUGAAUACACAGGUGGCACCUGCAUGUACGUAAAAAAACCCUGAGCAUGGCUGGGGAGAAUUUGCAUUUCCUAAUUUGAAAGCCACUGUUGGUUUGGGCUUCGGCACCGUCGCAAAGUUCUGCUAUUAUAUAGUGGAUUGUAAAAAUUAUGUUGAAAAAAUGACGAAUAUACAGGUGGCACCUGCAUGGACCCAAAAAACCCUGAGCACGACCCGGGGGGGAAUUUGCAUUUCCUAAUUGGAAAGCCACUGUUGGUUUGGGCUUUGGCACCGUCGCAAAGUUCUUCUAUUAUAUAGUGGAUUGGGGAUCACGGGAAACCACCGGCCACGGUGGCCCGUGGUGGUGACUAGCAGUGCGUUUUUUAUUUAUGGUCGAAAAUUAAAAAUUAAAUUUACAAAAAUUUAAUCGUUAAAUCUGGUCCAUUUUUGUGUAUGUUAACCUCCUUAACUUGGUGUUUUUAAUUGUAAGUUCUAAUCGUGGGAAUCUCCAGCCAAUGAUUGUUGUCGACGCCGUUGGUGGCGAUGGCUGGUUUAGGCUGUUUAAUGUUUAAUGUUCGAUAUAUUUGUAAUUUUUCAGAUUCAACCUAUUGAUCCCUAUCCAAAUUUAUUGCUAACUUAUCUCCAUUUUAAUUAUCAUUGCCUAGGUUAGGUGAAUCCUAGGCUUUUGAACAAGAGAGUUUAUAGACUGCAAGGAAAUGGCAGAAAUCGUAACGCAAUGGGUAUGGAACCGUGCUGGCCGUGUCGGCAUAAACAUUUACAUUUACAUUUGUAGCUCAUGACUACUUGCAGGACCAAACCACCCCAGCAGCCAGAUCAUACCAGCCCCAGCUUCUCUUCCUCUUUUCAGUAGGGGUUUAAGGUUUUGCAACAGAGGGUUUAUUUAGCAAGAUUCUUCUUUGUCGUCUUCUUCGUUCAUAAUUUUGGCAUUUUAAGUAUAUAGGUGUGUAGGAAGCUGCAAUAGCCCAUUUGUUGUAUUAAAUUUACAUAAUUCAUGUAGCUUAUUAAUAACACCAGUGGGGUAAUAUCGAUGAUAUAUAUGGUU